rfam:Populus trichocarpa scaffold_17_contig_309, whole genome shotgun sequence.
UCUUGAACUCGAGAUAUGGGUUGAACACUAAACAGUGUUUGGGCUGCAGGACAGAUUAUGACUUCUUCGUUGUUGCUAAGAUUUGGACUUCCAAACAGUAGACUUGAGUCUUGGACUCCUCAUGAAUGUUUUAGGCCUAUGUCUUAGCUUUCUAGC